GCUCGGGUGGUGGAAUUGGUAGACACCCAGGAUUUAAAAUCCUGUGGGCUUAUGGCCCGUACGAGUUCAAGUCUCGUCCCGAGCACCA
rnacentral:tRNA from 1 species